rnacentral:misc_RNA from 1 species
AACUUUUUGCAACGUAUCUCUUGGUUCUGGCGUCGAUUAAGAACGCAGCGAAAUGCGAUAAGUAAUGUGAAUUGCAGAAUUCAGUGAAUCAUCGAAUCUUUGAACGCACAUUGCGCCCUCUGGUAUUCCGGGGGGCAUGCCUGUUCGAGCGUCAUUACAACCCUCAAGCUUUGCUUGGUAUUGGACAUUGCCAGUUUCUGGCAGGUCUUAAAAUCAGUGGCGGUGCCAUUUGGCUUCAAGCGUAGUAAUUCUUCUCGCUUUGGAGAUCCAGGUGGUUACUUGCCAAUAACCCCCAAUUUUUUCAGGUUGACCUCGGAUCAGGUAGGGAUACCCGCUGAACUUAAGCAUAUCAAUAAGCGGAGGCU